AUUGAACGCUGGCGGCAGGCCUAACACAUGCAAGUCGAGCGGUAACAGAGAGUAGCUUGCUACUCUGCUGACGAGCGGCGGACGGGUGAGUAAUGCUUGGGAAUAUGCCUUAUGGUGGGGGACAACAGUUGGAAACGACUGCUAAUACCGCAUGAUGUCUACGGACCAAAGUGGGGGACCUUCGGGCCUCACGCCAUAAGAUUAGCCCAAGUGGGAUUAGCUAGUUGGUGAGGUAAUGGCUCACCAAGGCGACGAUCCCUAGCUGGUUUGAGAGGAUGAUCAGCCACACUGGGACUGAGACACGGCCCAGACUCCUACGGGAGGCAGCAGUGGGGAAUAUUGCACAAUGGGCGCAAGCCUGAUGCAGCCAUGCCGCGUGUGUGAAGAAGGCCUUCGGGUUGUAAAGCACUUUCAGUAAGGAGGAAAGGUUAAGUGUUAAUAGCGCUUAGCUGUGACGUUACUUACAGAAGAAGCACCGGCUAACUCCGUGCCAGCAGCCGCGGUAAUACGGAGGGUGCGAGCGUUAAUCGGAAUUACUGGGCGUAAAGCGUACGCAGGCGGUUUGUUAAGCGAGAUGUGAAAGCCCCGGGCUCAACCUGGGAACUGCAUUUCGAACUGGCAAACUAGAGUGUGAUAGAGGGUGGUAGAAUUUCAGGUGUAGCGGUGAAAUGCGUAGAGAUCUGAAGGAAUACCGAUGGCGAAGGCAGCCACCUGGGUCAACACUGACGCUCAUGUACGAAAGCGUGGGGAGCAAACAGG
rnacentral:rRNA from 1 species